rnacentral:rRNA from 1 species
CCUACGGGUGGCUGCAGUGGGGAAUAUUGGGCAAUGGGCGGAAGCCUGAACCAGCAACGCCGCGUGAAGGAAGAAGGCUUUCGGGUUGUAAACUUCUUUUGGCAGGGAAGAGUAGAAGACGGUUACUGUAGCAAAAGACACGGCUUACUACGGGCCAGCAGCCGCGGGAAUACGUAGGUUGGCAGCGUUGUCCGGGAUUAAUGGGUGUAAAGGGCGUGUAGGCGGGUUGAGAAGUUAGGAGGGAAAUCCUGGGGCGUAACCGCCGAACUGCUUUUGAAACUGUUGAUCUUGAGUACAGGAGAGGCAGGUGGAAUUCCUAGUGUAGCGGUGAAAUGCGUAGAUAUUAGGAGGAACACCAGUGGCGAAGGCGGUCUACUGGACUGUAACUGACGGUGAGGCGCGAAAGCGUGGGGAGCAAACAGGAUUAGAUACCCGUGUAGUC